UCCUUUUGGAUUCCCGCGUAUGUACUUGUUAAGCCUUUAAGAAAGAAGUUUAUAACUUAAGGAAUUAUAACAAAGAAGUAACACAUAAUAAGGUUGCCUUAUUUAGUGUGUAUCAAUCGAGUUUCUGACCUAUCAGCUUUUGAUGUUAGGGUAUUGGCCUAACAUGGCUAUGACGGGUAACGGGGAAUUAGAGUUCGAUUCCGGAGAGGGAGCCUGAGAAAUAGCUACCACAUCUAAGGAAGGCAGCAGGCGCGUAAAUUACCCAAUUCUAAAGAAGAGAGGUAGUGACAAGAAAUAACAAUACAAGGCCAUUUCAUGGUUUUGUAAUUGGAAUGAUGGGAAUUUAAAACCUUCCCAAAAUUCAAUUGGAGGGCAAGUCUGGUGCCAGCAGCCGCGGUAAUUCCAGCUCCAAUAGCGUAUAUUAAAAUUGUUGCAGUUAAAACGCUCGUAGUUGAAUUUCAAAGAAUCAAUAUUUUAAGUAAUACUUUUGCUAUAAGAUGCUUAGACAAUACAACGUAUCUGUUCUUUGCAUUCCUUAUGCAAAAUGUGUUCUUAUUAUAAAAAGGAUUCUUUUUAAAAUCUCUUUUGCUAUUUUUUAGUAUUGGAGAUUUUGUUACUUUGAGUAAAUUAGAGUGUUCAAAGCAAACAGUUAAAGCAUUUUACUGCGUUUGAAUACUACAGCAUGGAAUAACAAAAUUGAACAAGUCAGAAUUCUGUUCCUUUUUCCUAUUUUGGCU
rnacentral:rRNA from 1 species